AGAGCGAACGCUGGCGGCAGGCUUAACACAUGCAAGUCGAGCGGGCAUAGCAAUAUGUCAGCGGCAGACGGGUGAGUAACGCGUGGGAACGUACCUUUUGGUUCGGAACAACUGAGGGAAACUUCAGCUAAUACCGGAUAAGCCCUUACGGGGAAAGAUUUAUCGCCGAAAGAUCGGCCCGCGUCUGAUUAGCUAGUUGGUGAGGUAAUGGCUCACCAAGGCGACGAUCAGUAGCUGGUCUGAGAGGAUGAUCAGCCACAUUGGGACUGAGACACGGCCCAAACUCCUACGGGAGGCAGCAGUGGGGAAUAUUGGACAAUGGGCGCAAGCCUGAUCCAGCCAUGCCGCGUGAGUGAUGAAGGCCCUAGGGUUGUAAAGCUCUUUUGUGCGGGAAGAUAAUGACGGUACCGCAAGAAUAAGCCCCGGCUAACUUCGUGCCAGCAGCCGCGGUAAUACGAAGGGGGCUAGCGUUGCUCGGAAUCACUGGGCGUAAAGGGUGCGUAGGCGGGUCUUUAAGUCAGGGGUGAAAUCCUGGAGCUCAACUCCAGAACUGCCUUUGAUACUGAAGAUCUUGAGUUCGGGAGAGGUGAGUGGAACUGCGAGUGUAGAGGUGAAAUUCGUAGAUAUUCGCAAGAACAUCCAGUGGCGAAGGCGGCUACAACUUGCCUCGA
rnacentral:rRNA from 1 species